GUGGCUUUUUAUCACUUAACAGUUCAGCAGUGCCCAGAAAAUUGCUUAUGCUUUCAUUCACAGUAGAGCAAACAACAUGCAUUUGCUUUUCCAACUGUGACAUAGGAAUAUUCAUGUUUUGAAUUAGAAGAUGUGAAGUAGGUGGGAGACUUGAUACAGCUGACUUUUCACUCUGAGACACCUCUCUGGAUUGCAUCUCGGUCUCCUUGGAGACUGCUGCUAUCAUUAAAUCAUAAGCUAGCCCAGGGCCCUCCUGUCUUGCUGCUACGUAAACAGAAUGGAAUUUCAGCUCUGUGGCCAAACAAGAUGCAUCAUGACUGUAGUCCAGGAGUUAGGACACUUACUUAUAUCCAGUGAAGAUCAGCUUAGAGAAUCGUGGAAAACGAUUCUCUGGUCCCAGAAGAGAUGUUGAACACCAGUGUGAGCGUCAGGCAGUUUUGCAGAGGAAGCUGGGAACAAGAAGAGGAUAUAAUUAUGUUCCUGUACUUCAGAUUCAAAUCCUCUGUACCAUUUUAAAAAUAUAUAGGAUAUGAUAUGCUGACUACUUCAAAUGCAGGAUAUAGGAUAUGACGGCAGACUUUUUGUAUUAAUUAACAUUUUCCCUCAGAUAGCUUUUCUUAACUAAAUGAAAAAGAAAAAAGUUCUGACUGCAUUUUAUAAGUGUUCUGAUCUUGGUGGUGUGUGUGUGUGAGGCAUGCUGUAAGCAGGCUUACCCUAUGCACCCUCUUUCAAAAUAUGGGUAAGCAUAAAGCUCUCUGGAGAUGACCAGAAAACUUGUAGGUAAAACAGGUGGGUUCCUUGCACACUUAAGCAGGACAAAGGUGGUGGGUGUUCUUUCUGAGUUUUUUUGGGCAUGGAUGAGCUCCCUAUUUGUGUCACAUUUAGCAUCUUUGCCUUCAGAGUUGAAUGAGAGGCUGUGUGUGUUAUGGAAACCAUCUGCAAAAUCAGAAGAAUGGAGUGACAUCAUCUUCUAAAGAAAAAUAAACAUGUUUAUGAAACUGUUUGAAACCUUUCCAUGGGUACAUUUACCCUUGUAAGAGGUUUUGUUGAGACUGUGUUUGUCAUAGUAGUAGUGCUUCUUCAUCAGUAUGCUAGGAAAGUGAUUUUCUGAGUUCAUUCUUUAUUACUGAAAGAAAACAAAGUGUAUAGCAGAACAAUGACCCUUGUCUUCAGAAGAAUGGAUGUAAGCUUGUUGGAGGUGGAUGACGUCCCAUUGGAGGCAGCAGAGGAGAGUAAAGAGGGCCAAGAGAGCUUUUUGAUGGUCAAGCGUAGCAUCCUUCAUGCAUAGAAAGGGAACGUUUUGAAGUUUAUGAGCUGUGUAUAUGGCAGGGGGUCCCAGUGGCUAGCUGGGGAGCUCAGACUGAACUCAGCUGGACUUGUACAUAGAUGGAAGUGGGAAUGGUCUACAUGACAUAAACGGACAUUGCUAAGAUGGCAUAGAGGAGCUAGCUGCUUCUGAAGGGGAUCUGAAAUUUGUGGUGGAUGAGAAAAGCAACAAGAAAGGCUGUUAGAGCUGCAUAAGCGACAACAGAGGGGACUAAGGAAUACGUGGACCUGCUGAAGAAUGGGGUGGUGGGCCUGGUGAUAUAGGAAGUAAAAAUGGUUGAGUUACUCAGUAGAUAACUGGCAAGGUUUGUUGUGAAGUCUUCUAGAUCCAUGUGCCUAGAGGCCAAGUCUGGGCCAUGGUAAAGGAAGUCUGAGAUGGGGAUUCCUUAAGCAGCCUGGACACAUACAGAAAUUCAUGGAUGCAUCCAGUGCUGCUGAGGGAGCUGGCCAAUGUCAUUGGUCAACACUGCUCUCUGUGACCAUCAAAAGGGCAUGAUGAUUGGAUGAAGUUCGUGAUGACCAGAAGAAGGCAAGCAUCCUCGAGAAAAAUUAGGUGAAUUUGGGGAACUUCAGGCUAGGCAGCCUAAUCAGAGUCCUCAGGAACAUUAUGGAGCCACUUUUCCUGGAAGCCAGGCACAGCUGGAAAAGGUGACUGGGAACAGAAAAGACAGGUUUACUGAGAAAGAUGUGAUUGUCUUCUUCAAAGAGAUGAUUAGUUGUGUGAAUGAGGGGAGAGCGGAGUUUUAAAGUCCUUUGUAGCUAAGAUGGAGAAGUAUGCUGUGGACUGACAGAUUAUCAGUUGAGUGGAAAAUGGGCUGGACCAAUGGACUCAAAGGGUUCAGAUGGCAGCUGGUUUUACCUGGCAUUGCUCAGAGGCUGAUGUUAGGGAUGCUCACAUUUAAUGUUCUCAUAAGUUACCCAGAUAUUGGGAUGGAGAGCAUCCGCAGAAGUUCAUGUCACACAAAACUGGGUUGUGGAGUGACUGAUGAGCUGUUCAGGCCUGAUAUCCAGAGGCACCUGGACACAUUGGAGAAGUGGACUGAGAGGGACCUUCCAAAGUUAAGUCAGAUGCAGAGUUUCAGCACUCAGAAGGGACCAGUCUCCAGGUUUGCUGGGAUUGACUUGCUAGAAAGCUGCUUGCAAAGCUGGAUCUCGGGAUUUUGGUUGGACAAAAAUCAGCAACGUGCCCUUGCAGCAAUGAAGGCCAGGCCCACCCUGGGCAGCAUAAGCAGCAGCAUAAUUGAGGGAAUUCACUAAUCCCAUGCAUUUUGCUCUUGUGAGACUACAUCUGUAACGCUGUGUCCAGUUUUGGGGUCACCAGUACAGGGAAGAUGCAGACGUACUGGAGAGAGGCUUGUGGAGGGCCAGUGAGGGGGGAUUGAGCCUAUGGCAUGCAAACAGUCUGAGAAGCUGGGUUCAUUUGUCUUGAAGAGGAGAUGUCUUAGAGGGAGCUUUCUAAUUUCUGUUUUCUUCUAUCCAAUGUGUAGUCAUAGGGAAGACAGACUCUUGGAAGUGCACGUGGAAAGGGUAAGAAGUAAUGGACUGAUGUUGCAGCAGGAGAAAUUAUGACUAGAUAUCAGGAAAAAAAAUCUUCACAGUGAGGAAGAUCAAAUGCUGGUUGUUCAGGGAGGCUGUAGUAUCUCCAUCCUUGCCAGAUGCUCAAAGCCUGAUUAGACAAACCCCUGAGCAAUGUGGAUCUGGCUUGAAAGCUGGCUCUCGUCUUAAUAGGGAAGCAGACCAGACAGCCUGCAAAGGUCCCUUCCAAUAUUGUUGUGUGAUUCUAUUAACAGCAGCGUAAAUAUCUUCAAAGUAGGUCCAGAAUAAAGUGAUGCAAGCAACAAGGAAGUCACAGAGAGAAAAAAAAUAAGAAGUGAAAAGCCAGAAUUGCAGAACUGAAAUAAAAAGCAUGUGAAAGAGGAAAAAGUCAGUUGUAUUUGGAAGUUCUGUUACUUUGGAAGCAUAAAUUUACAUUUAUAAGCCUUUAUGUGUUUAUACAGAAUUUAUGUAAUAUCUCUCUUUUUGUUUUGAGGGUGGGAGAAAUGUCAUAUUACACUGUUUAUUGUUUGCCACAAUUAAUUAGAAAUCAGUGAUUGGAAACUAUUAAUCAGAAGAUGGAACACACUUCUUUAGACCACUGAAGGAAAAGAAAUGGAAUAAAAGAGUAUCAGAGCUGUUACAAAGAGACUGAACUUUGUUUUGAAAAAUGCAUGACUGUUUCUUGCCUUCCAGAACAUAAAUGUAGAGCCUGGACUUCUGACUGCUGCACAGUGAUCCCAGCUGACUGCUUUUUGGAUAAUAAAAGGCCAGUUCUGUGCUGCCUUCCAGAUUGCUUGCAUAAAAGAGAACCUCAGCAACACUUGUGUAGCCAAGUCGGGUCAAAAUUUCAGACUGAAAAGAGAAGCAGGUCUUGAAAGAAAAGCUCUUGGUCAGAUUUAUGUGUCUGAGUUUCAUGAUGUUCUGCUUGGUGUUCUCUUCUUUGUCAGCCUCUGAUGUUUUAUAUAGCUGCAUAGAUUUCAGUAUUAUGAUUUACCAAAAUUGUAAAUUUUAUUUGGAGAGAUGAUGGCUGAAUGGCUCCAUGUGGUUAAAAGGAUAGGUUCUUACGUAGCUUUUGCUUCACAUCUAUAAAAUGUGUGAUGAAAUGUCAGAUGCUUUAAUUAGACUGUUAAAAGAUACAAAGCAGUUUAACUGGAUGUUAAUGAAGAGAUGUCUAGGAGUGCCUAAAGCCAAACAAAAAGCUGUUCUAUUAGUGCUGCUAUCUGAAACUCCAAAACCCAAAUGUCACACUGGACUGUAUUCCUCUUGGGUCUUGUAUCUAGAAAAGCUCCUAUUUUGUUUAUGUUUAGGAAAAAAUGGAAAGAAAGGUGUGCAUAUGAUGUGAGUAUACUUGUAAAUAUACUGUAAAUUGUGCUGUAAAUAUUUAGAAUGUUAAUUUGGAUCAUUGGUGUUUUCUAACUAAUAAAACAGCAUAAAUUAUU